CCUUAAAUAGUCUCACUGUUCUGAUGUAGUAAUCAGAGCAAGCUAAACAUUUGCUAUAUUUAGGCCAUCCAUGUAUCCCCAGACUUGGUUCUUUCCUUAGGUCUGCUUUUAUCAAUGCUGGUGAUAGAC
ensembl:snoRNA SNORA72 Small nucleolar RNA SNORA72